rfam:Camelus ferus unplaced genomic scaffold scaffold506, whole genome shotgun sequence.
GAGGGUAUAUCUCAGGAGUAGAGUGAGUGCUUAGCAUGCACAAGGUCCUGGGUUCAAUCCCCAGUGCCUCCA